rnacentral:rRNA from 1 species
AGCUAACUCUUUAGGUAGUAAUUAAACCAACAUAUGCUGGCGGUCUUUAUAAAUUAGAGAAACUCGCCUUAUAAUCGAAAAUACCCGAUAAUUUUUACUCAAUUAAAUUUAAUUAGCCUAUAUACCGCCGUUAUCAGAGCUUUCUAAAAUUUAAAUAUCACUUAAUAAUUAAACUUUAACAAAAAUCAGGUCAAGGUGUAGCCAAUAAUUGAGAAAAGGUAAGUUACAUUAAGAAUAACUUAAGAAUGCAAAACGUAACGUUACAGCUGAAAGAGAAUUUAUUUGUACUCCUAAGUUAAAAUCUGAGGCUGAAUUUCACAAUAAAGAUGC